rnacentral:tRNA from 1 species
CUAUUAUCGCCUCUAUUUCAAAACCGAACAUGAAAUUUUAAUAUCAUACGGCUCCUUUAUGAAUUAGAAAAAUUUUCUUCUAUUAUAUUUUGUAUUCAAAUAGAUUCAUACCAUCUAUGUUAGUUUUUUCAUCAUUUU